rnacentral:rRNA from 1 species
AACGAACGCUGGCGGCGUGCCUAACACAUGCAAGUCGAACGAGAAAGGGGCUUCGGCUCCGAGUAAAGUGGCGCACGGGUGAGUAACACGUGGGUAACCUGCCUCUAAGAUUGGGACAACUCGUCGAAAGAUGAGCUAAUACCGAAUAAGACCACAGUUCCUGCGGGAACAGGGGUCAAAGGUAGCCUCUGCUUGCAAGCUAUCACUUAGAGAUGGGCCUGCGCACCAUUAGCUAGUUGGUAGGGUAACGGCCUACCAAGGCAAAGAUGGUUAGCUGGUCUGAGAGGAUGAUCAGCCACACUGGAACUGAGACACGGUCCAGACUCCGUAC